AUUGAACGCUGGCGGCAGGCCUAACACAUGCAAGUCGAGCGGAUGAGUGGAGCUUGCUCCAUGAUUCAGCGGCGGACGGGUGAGUAAUGCCUAGGAAUCUGCCUGGUAGUGGGGGACAACGUUUCGAAAGGAACGCUAAUACCGCAUACGUCCUACGAGAGAACGUGGGGGAUCUUCGGACCUCACGCUAUCAGAUGAGCCUAGGUCGGAUUAGCUAGUUGGUGAGGUAAAGGCUCACCAAGGCGACGAUCCGUAACUGGUCUGAGAGGAUGAUCAGUCACACUGGAACUGAGACACGGUCCAGACUCCUACGGGAGGCAGCAGUGGGGAAUAUUGGACAAUGGGCGAAAGCCUGAUCCAGCCAUGCCGCGUGUGUGAAGAAGGUCUUCGGAUUGUAAAGCACUUUAAGUUGGGAGGAAGGGCAGUAAGUUAAUACCUUGCUGUUUUGACGUUACCAACAGAAUAAGCACCGGCUAACUUCGUGCCAGCCGCCGCUGUAAGAC
rnacentral:rRNA from 1 species